rnacentral:rRNA from 1 species
AAGAACGCAGCGAACUGCGAUAAGUAAUGUGAAUUGCAGAAUUCAGUGAAUCAUCGAGUCUUUGAACGCACAUUGCGCCCCCUGGCAUUCCGGGGGGCAUGCCUGUCCGAGCGUCAUUGCUGCCCUUCAAGCCCGGCUUGUGUGUUGGGUCGUCGUC